rnacentral:rRNA from 1 species
GACAGAGGGUGCAAACGUUGUUCGGAAUUACUGGGCGUAAAGCGUGUGUAGGCUGCUCUGCAAGUCGGGUGUGGAAAGCCCUGGGCUCAACCUAGGAAGUGCAUUCGAAACUGCAGAGCUCGAGUCCUGGAGAGGAAGGCGGAAUUCUCGGUGUAGAGGUGAAAUUCGUAGAUAUCGAGAGGAACACCGGUGGCGAAGGCGGCCUUCUGGACAGUGACUGACGCUGAGACACGAAAGCGUGGGGAGCAAACAGG